CGUUCACCAUGCUGCCUGCGUCUGCGUGUGGUGCCUACUACUGACGCCUGAGGUUGAGGGGUCGAGGAUGAAGGGAGUGUAGGACUUGAGUUUUCAGGUUCCUAAGGUGCCAUGGUGCAAGUAUUUAAAGGGACGGGGUUAGGUUUGGUGGGUCAUUCUUGCUACAUGCAAGAAUCAGGAAUCGCGUGCAGCUUGUCUAGCUGCAUCUGCAUUUGUUGGUUCGGUUUGGUGCCCGUUGGCAUGACUUUGGGCUUGUGGGUUUCGGACAUGGAUGCCAUUCUGAGACUGAAUCAGAAAUGGUAGGAAUCAGGUUGGCAUAUACUCCCUCCGUUCGGAAAUGAUCUACAUAUUUUGACUAGAGAAAGUCAAACUUUAUAAACUUUGACUAAUAAUUAGUUAAAUUAUAUGUAUAAUUAGUUUAUAAAAUUUAUGUCAAUACAUAUGUAUUCAAAGAGGUUUUGAGAUGACAUUGAGUUAUUCGUAAUUGACAUUA